rnacentral:rRNA from 1 species
UACGUAGGGGGCUAGCGUUGUCCGGAAUCAUUGGGCGUAAAGAGCGCGUAGGCGGCUAGAUAAGUCCGGUGUGAAAGUCACAGGCUCAACCUGUGAAUGCCGCUGGAAACUGUCUGGCUAGAGUCCGGAAGGGGCGAGUGGAAUUCCUGGUGUAGCGGUGAAAUGCGCAGAUAUCAGGAGGAACACCAAUGGCGAAGGCAGCUUCCUGGACCGACACUGACGCUGAGGCGCGAAAGCUAGGGGAGCAAACGGG